ACUCUACUUGCAGUUUACUUUAGGGAAUUGUGGUUAUAGGACUCAGCAGUAGGUUGGAGUUUUUUCGGUUUGAUCAGGGGUCAUAAUCUGUCAUACUUUAUAAGAAUUAUCAAGCAUCAAAACCAUGAUCCAACAAAGAAAAAGAUUUUUUGCAAUUAUGUGAAAUUUUACAAGGGAUUUUUUAUGAUGAUUGUAAAGUGGACAUAGAUUGUAAUGGGUUUGUUUACAUGUAUGAAAUGGUAGCAGGAACUGAUGAAAUGAUAUAAUUUGGCAAUGAUGCAGAUCAUGAAGGUAACUGGAACUGGAUAAUGUAGUCACAUGAGACAAACACUGAACCUUUGAGCAACAAAUGCUCCUUAGGUGUUUAGCAUGAAACCUCAUGCCCACUGUUAAGUGAAGGGAAGGACCUUUAGGCGUGUUUCUGUUUUAUAAUCCAACAGUGUAUGAUAUCCAGGACCCUUUAAAAUAUUGGGACAUUUAAACACCAAUCUGAUGGAAUCUACCGAAAAACUUUAAAUGGGUUGUCUUUCGGCCAUAUGUUUUGGAUAAUGAGCCUGAUGUCAGGAUCUGUGUUGUGGUUCUGUGUUUGUGUUUUCUCCUGUCUCUCUGGAACUGCAUUUUUUCCUGAGGGUGGGGCUGAGCAGCUCAGCUGCACUUCAUCUGAGCUCGUCAGCCCGAGCAUAGGAGGAGCUGGUUUCGACGCCUGAGUGUCCUUUGUUGUACCUCUAGCCUCCAUGUGCCAGUCUCUGUCCAGUCUCUGAGUUUUUGAAUCUCCAGCUAAUUCCUUGUUGCUUGUUUCUCCAAGGUUACCUCCAAGCUCCUGCCUAAACUCUCUCAAACACCUCCUGGACUCACUGAUUUCCUCGCUCUGUGGUCCCUGCUGAUCAGAACAAACAACUGGUUUCCUAUUGGCUCAAACUUAAACAAAUCCUGUCCACCCUCCAAUGUUACAUCAUCUGCUGAAAUUCAUUGUACACAGAACUGCUUAAGACCCUGAGAGACCCUCCUCCUAUUUCAGACUGCUCAUCAGCACCAUGAUUUACUUUCUGAACCCUGGAGCCAUCUUUGACCUGAUUGCUCGCUCUCCUGCCAGUUCAAAUAAAUUGUUCAACUUG